rnacentral:rRNA from 1 species
UACAGAGGGGGCAAGCGUUGUUCGGAAUUACUGGGCGUAAAGGGCGCGUAGGCGGCCUGUUAAGUCGAACGUGAAAUCCCUAGGCUCAACCUAGGAACUGCGUCCGAUACUGGCAGGCUUGAAUCCGGGAGAGGGAUGCGGAAUUCCAGGUGUAGCGGUGAAAUGCGUAGAUAUCUGGAGGAACACCGGUGGCGAAGACGGCAUCCUGGACCGGCAUUGACGCUGAGGCGCGAAAGCCAGGGGAGCAAACGGG